rnacentral:rRNA from 1 species
UACGGAGGGUGCGAGCGUUGUCCGGAAUCAUUGGGCGUAAAGGGCGCGUAGGUGGCGGGACAAGCGUGCGGUGAAAGCUCGGGGCUCAACCCCGCGUCGGCCGUGCGAACUGUUUUGCUUGAGCACUGUAGAGGCAGGCGGAAUUCCGGGUGUAGCGGUGGAAUGCGUAGAGAUCCGGAAGAACACCGGUGGCGAAGGCGGCCUGCUGGGCAGUAGCUGACACUGAGGCGCGACAGCGUGGGGAGCAAACGGG